rnacentral:rRNA from 1 species
GGCGAGGGGAGUGAAAAAGAACCUGAAACCGUGUACGUACAAGCAGUGGGAGCACAGAGCAAUCUGUGUGACUGCGUACCUUUUGUAUAAUGGGUCAGCGACUUAUAUUCUGUAGCAAGGUUAACCGAAUAGGGGAGCCGAAGGGAAACCGAGUCUUAACUGGGCGUUAAGUUGCAGGGUAUAGACCCGAAACCCGGUGAUCUAGCCAUGGGCAGGUUGAAGGUUGGGUAACACUAACUGGAGGACCGAACCGACUAAUGUUGAAAAAUUAGCGGAUGACUUGUGGCUGGGGGUGAAAGGCCAAUCAAACCGGGAGAUAGCUGGUUCUCCCCGAAAGCUAUUUAGGUAGCGCCUCGUGAAUUCAUCUCCGGGGGUAGAGCACUGUUUCGGCAAGGGGGUCAUCCCGACUUACCAACCCGAUGCAAACUGCGAAUACCGGAGAAUGUUAUCACGGGAGACACACGGCGGGUGCUAACGUCCGUCGUGAAGAGGGAAACAACCCAGACCGCCAGCUAAGGUCCCAAAGUCAUGGUUAAGUGGGAAACGAUGUGGGAAGGCCCAGACAGCCAGGAUGUUGGCUUAGAAGCAGCCAUCAUUUAAAGAAAGCGUAAUAGCUCACUGGUCGAGUCGGCCUGCGCGGAAGAUGUAACGGGGCUAAACCAUGCACCGAAGCUGCGGCAGCGACACUGUGUGUUGUUGGGUAGGGGAGCGUUCUGUAAGCCUGUGAAGGUGUGCUGUGAGGCAUGCUGGAGGUAUCAGAAGUGCGAAUGCUGACAUAAGUAACGAUAAAGCGGGUGAAAAGCCCGCUCGCCGGAAGACCAAGGGUUCCUGUCCAACGUUAAUCGGGGCAGGGUGAGUCGACCCCUAAGGCGAGGCCGAAAGGCGUAGUCGAUGGGAAACAGGUUAAUAUUCCUGUACUUGGUGUUACUGCGAAGGGGGGACGGAGAAGGCUAUGUUGGCCGGGCGACGGUUGUCCCGGUUUAAGCGUGUAGGCUGGUUUUCCAGGCAAAUCCGGAAAAUCAAGGCUGAGGCGUGAUGACGAGGCACUACGGUGCUGAAGCAACAAAUGCCCUGCUUCCAGGAAAAGCCUCUAAGCAUCAGGUAACAUCAAAUCGUACCCCAAACCGACACAGGUGGUCAGGUAGAGAAUACCAAGGCGCUUGAGAGAACUCGGGUGAAGGAACUAGGCAAAAUGGUGCCGUAACUUCGGGAGAAGGCACGCUGAUAUGUAGGUGAAGUCCCUCGCGGAUGGAGCUGAAAUCAGUCGAAGAUACCAGCUGGCUGCAACUGUUUAUUAAAAACACAGCACUGUGCAAACACGAAAGUGGACGUAUACGGUGUGACGCCUGCCCGGUGCCGGAAGGUUAAUUGAUGGGGUCAGCGCAAGCGAAGCUCUUGAUCGAAGCCCCGGUAAACGGCGGCCGUAACUAUAACGGUCCUAAGGUAGCGAAAUUCCUUGUCGGGUAAGUUCCGACCUGCACGAAUGGCGUAAUGAUGGCCAGGCUGUCUCCACCCGAGACUCAGUGAAAUUGAACUCGCUGUGAAGAUGCAGUGUACCCGCGGCAAGACGGAAAGACCCCGUGAACCUUUACUAUAGCUUGACACUGAACAUUGAGCCUUGAUGUGUAGGAUAGGUGGGAGGCUUUGAAGUGUGGACGCCAGUCUGCAUGGAGCCGACCUUGAAAUACCACCCUUUAAUGUUUGAUGUUCUAACGUGGACCCGUGAUCCGGGUUGCGGACAGUGUCUGGUGGGUAGUUUGACUGGGGCGGUCUCCUCCUAAAGAGUAACGGAGGAGCACGAAGGUUGGCUAAUCCUGGUCGGACAUCAGGAGGUUAGUGCAAUGGCAUAAGCCAGCUUGACUGCGAGCGUGACGGCGCGAGCAGGUGCGAAAGCAGGUCAUAGUGAUCCGGUGGUUCUGAAUGGAAGGGCCAUCGCUCAACGGAUAAAAGGUACUCCGGGGAUAACAGGCUGAUACCGCCCAAGAGUUCAUAUCGACGGCGGUGUUUGGCACCUCGAUGUCGGCUCAUCACAUCCUGGGGCUGAAGUAGGUCCCAAGGGUAUGGCUGUUCGCCAUUUAAAGUGGUACGCGAGCUGGGUUUAGAACGUCGUGAGACAGUUCGGUCCCUAUCUGCCGUGGGCGCUGGAGAACUGAGGGGGGCUGCUCCUAGUACGAGAGGACCGGAGUGGACGCAUCACUGGUGUUCGGGUUGUCAUGCCAAUGGCACUGCCCGGUAGCUAAAUGCGGAAGAGAUAAGUGCUGAAAGCAUCUAAGCACGAAACUUGCCCCGAGAUGAGUUCUCCCUGACCCUUUAAGGGUCCUGAAGGAACGUUGAAGACGACGACGUUGAUAGGCCGGGUGUGUAAGCGCAGCGAUGCGUUGAGCUAACCGGUACUAAUGAACCGUGAGGCUUAACCUUACAACGCCGAAGGUGUUU